rnacentral:misc_RNA from 1 species
GAUGAAGAACGCAGCGAAAUGUGAUAAGUAAUGUGAAUUGCAGAAUUCAGUGAAUCAUCGAAUCUUUGAACGCACAUUGCGCCCGCCAGUAUUCUGGCGGGCAUGCCUGUCCGAGCGUCAUUUCAACCAUCAAGCCCCCGGGCUUGUGUUGGGGACCUGCGGCUGCCCGCAGGCCCUGAAAACCAGUGGCGGGCUCGCUGUCACACCGAGCGUAGUAGCAAUCACCUCGCUCAGGGCGUGCUGCGGGUUCCGGCCGUUAAACAGCCUUACAAAACCCAAGGUUGACCUCGGAUCAGGAAGGAAGACCCGCUGAACUUAAGCAUAUCAAUAAGCGGAGGA